rnacentral:rRNA from 1 species
UACAUAGGGUGCGAGCGUUGUCCGGAAUUACUGGGCGUAAAGAGCUCGUAGGUGGUUUGUCGCGUUGUUCGUGAAAUCUCACGGCUUAACUGUGAGCGUGCGGGCGAUACGGGCAGACUGGAGUACUGCAGGGGAGACUGGAAUUCCUGGUGUAGCGGUGGAAUGCGCAGAUAUCAGGAGGAACACCGGUGGCGAAGGCGGGUCUCUGGGCAGUAACUGACGCUGAGGAGCGAAAGCGUGGGGAGCGAACAGG